rnacentral:tRNA from 1 species
GGUCCUGUGGUGUAGUGGUUAUCACGUCUGCUUUACACGGAGAAGGUCGUCGGUUCGAUCCCGGCCAGGACCU